GAUGAAGAACGUAGCGAAAUGCGAUACUUGGUGUGAAUUGCAGAAUCCCGUGAACCAUCGAGUCUUUGAACGCAAGUUGCGCCCGAAGCCAUUAGGCCGAGGGCACGCCUGCCUGGGCGUCACACGUCGUUGCCCCCCCAUCUACUCCUUCGGGAUUGCGGGGGGCGGAUGAUGGCCUCCCGUGCGCCUCGCCGCGCGGUUGGCAUAAAUGCCAAGUCCUCGGCGACGCACGCCACGACAAUCGGUGGUUGCGAAACCUCGGUUGCCCGUCGUGUGCGGUCGUCGCGCAUCGAGGGCUCGAAAAAAUUGCCGCGUUCCGGCUCGGCUUUCAACGCGACCCCAGGUCAGGCGGGGUUACCCGCUGAAUUUAAGCAUAUCAAUAAGCGGAGGA
rnacentral:misc_RNA from 1 species